rnacentral:rRNA from 1 species
CCCUUAGAUGUUCUGGGCUGCACGCGCGCUACACUGAUGCACUCAACGAGUUUACGACCUUGCCCGAUAGGGUUGGGUAAUCUUUUUAAAAUGCAUCGUGAUGGGGAUAGAUUAUUGCAAUUAUUAAUCUUCAACGAGGAAUUCCUAGUAAGCGCGAGUCAUCAGCUCGUGCUGAUUACGUCCCUGCCCUUUGUACACACCGCCCGUCGCUCCUACCGAUUGAGUGCUCAGGUGAAUAAUUCGGACUGCAGCAAUGUUUGGAUCCCGAACGUUGCAGCGGAAAGUUUAGUGAACCUUNUNACUUAUNGGAAGGAGAANUCGUANCA